CUCAUAAGCAGCUAUGUUCUGCAACGUUAUUAAAUCAUAUUUCGUCCCCUCGCUCCUUUUAGCAGCUGUGGGGUCUGUGAAUGGAAACUCCGAAGUGAAGGAGAGCCACUCUUCUUAUCCCUGCUGUGAAGCCCCAACAAUUGAGCUCACAAAACACGGUGAAACCACAUGGAGCACAAAGAACAAGCCGUUUGCCAUCUCCGACGGCACUGGCACGUCCACUAGGUGCAUUCCUCCGUGCAUGACGAUCGAAGACGGACGGAUGACGGUGGAUGAAUGUGUGAAUAUAACCGCCACCGUGGUGUCCAGCGAUGUAGGUCACAAACCUUCUGUUAUUGAACUUUGACUUUAUUUGUCUCUGUGUAUUAUUAGUGUUCCCAAACCAUGGGAAAAUGUAAAAAAUAAUUGAUGUAGCAGCAGUGAUUAGGAUUAGGCAUCGAGAACCGGU
rnacentral:lncRNA from 1 species